GAUGAAGAACGUAGCGAAAUGCGAUAAGUAAUGUGAAUUGCAGAAUUCAGUGAAUCAUCGAAUCUUUGAACGCACAUUGCGCCCCCUGGUAUUCCGGGGGGCAUGCCUGUCCGAGCGUCAUUACAACCCUCAAGCUCAGCUUGGUGUUGGGCCCCGCCGCCCGGGCGGGCCCUAAAGUCAGUGGCGGUGCCGUCCGGCUCCGAGCGUAGUAAUUCUUCUCGCUCUGGAGGUCCGGUCGUGUGCUCGCCAGCAACCCCCAAUUUUUUUCAGGUUGACCUCGGAUCAGGUAGGGAUACCCGCUGAACUUAAGCAUAUCAAUAAGCGGAGGA
rnacentral:misc_RNA from 1 species